rnacentral:rRNA from 1 species
CCUACGGGAGGCAGCAGUGGGGAAUCUUGCGCAAUGGGCGAAAGCCUGACGCAGCAACGCCGCGUGCGGGAAGAAGGCUUUCGGGCUGUAAACCGCUUUCAGCAGGAACGAAAAUGACGGUACCUGCAGAAGAAGGAGCGGCCAACUAUGUGCCAGCAGCCGCGGUGAUAUAUAGGCUUCAAGCGUUGUCCGGAUUUAUUGGGCGUAAAGAGUUCGUAGGCGGUCGAGUAAGUCGGGUGUGAAAAUUCUGGGCUCAACCCAGAGACGCCACCCGAUACUGCUUGACUUGAGUUCGAUAGGGGAGUGGGGAAUUCCUAGUGUGGCGGUGAAAUGCGCAGAUAUUAGGAGGAACACCGGUGGCGAAGGCGCCACUCUGGAUCGAUACUGACGCUGAGGAACGAAAGCAUGGGUAGCAAACAGGAUUAGAUACCCUGGUAGUCCAUGCCGUAAACGGUGGGCACUAGGUGUGGGUUUCUAUUAACGAAAUCCGCGCCGUCGCUAACGCAUUAAGUGCCCCGCUGGGGAAGUCGGUCGCAAGACUAAAACUCAAAUGAAUUGACGGCUGAGACGNGCGAGACGACGACGAGGAGAG